UACGUCUCUUCAGUCUCUGUGCCAGCACCGAUUCGUACGUGUGCGGCGUAACACGUUUCGUUGUCGUUGAUUAUUAAAUUUGUAUUAGCGUUUCGAAUUGCUCGUAAAGUGUAAUUUGACCAGAAGUGAGGGAUAUUACGGGAAGGAUCGCGGUAUAUACGUGAAACGAAGAGGUGCCGUGAAAGAAGAGAGGACGAGAAAGAAGGGAAAGAGUAGAACGAGCGGACGCUAAGUUAGACGAAGAACGAACGAAUAUUUUCCGUUUUUGUAAGACGGUACAACGAAUACAGAGUACAUCGAAAUGCGUUUAUUGGCGUUACUUUUCUUUAUCAUAUCUUGCGCCCUCGCUCGCUCGGCGGUCGGCAUCACAGGAAUGAUCGAUUCUGACUUCGUCUAUUUCCCUGACCAAGAGGACUACAUCAAACUCGCUGUGAAGUGUAAAGAUAACAUGAUACUGUGGCCAGCGAAUCGUCAGUGUUACAAGGAAGGCGAGCAAGGUCCCUGUAACGUCGGUCGAGUACUGAUAUUCGACCGUCGGUUACUAAAACCAUAUUGUAAAGAUCUUAUAUUUUAACAUUUUUGUAUAGAAAGCAAUGUAACCAACUGCCGGCAAUAUGUAAUUUAUUCCGUAUAUGUACUGAUGUAUAAUAGAUGACGGUAGUGACUGAAUUUUCCGAAACAAGUUUCUGGGAAAAGGAAAAUGUGUUCCGUUGAGGUUCAACUUUAUCUGAUGCAGACAAAAAUAUUUGUUUAAGUGAAACGCGUAAAAAUUUCCAUAGUGCAAGUAUAAAUACUAUUCUUCCUGACCAUAUAUAUUCAAUGUAAGCAGUUACAUUUCGUGAAAAUUAUGUUACGCGAUAAUAUGUACGAAAAAAUAGAUUGCCACACAUGUCGCAUUUGUAUGGAAAUAUGAACUUCUUUAAGUAUUCAUUUCUAUUAAAAAAAUAGAAUUUUAUUAAAUUUUAAACAAGAGAUUGUCUGAUAUAUCAUACUCGAUAAUAUAUUUUAAUUUUUGCUCAGGAAUGUAGAAAUUUUUUUAAUACUUGCCAUAAUGAAAAGUGAUGUUAAUAUAGUGCUGUACUUAUUACUGUAUUUUGCUAAAUUUAGAACAUAAAUGCAUUUAUCUAAAA